rnacentral:misc_RNA from 1 species
GAUGAAGAACGUAGCGAAAUGCGAUAAGUAGUGUGAAUUGCAGAAAUCAGUGAAUCAUCGAAUCUUUGAACGCACAUUGCGCCCCUCGGUAUUCCGUGGGGCAUGCCUGUUCGAGCGUCAUUUACCCCUCAAGCACUGCUUGGUGUUGGGCGUCUGUCCCGCUUCGCGCGCGGACUCGCCCCAAAGGUAUUGGCAGCGGUCGUGCCAGCUUCUCGCGCAGCACAUUGCGCUUCUCGAGGCGGUCGAUCGGCGUCCACGAAGCUCACCUCCACCGUUUGACCUCGGAUCAGGUAGGGAUACCCGCUGAACUUAAGCAUAUCAUAAGCGGAGGA